rnacentral:sRNA from 10 species
GAGCAGUGACACUCAGUCGUUAUGUCACCCUAAAACUGGACUUAGAGUCACAGGGACGGAAAUUCUGGGCGGUAGCAGAGACUUUAUUCACUAUCCUUUACAGGACGCCAUUAGCCUUGCUGACUAAUAU